rnacentral:rRNA from 1 species
AUUGAACGCUGGCGGCAGGCCUAACACAUGCAAGGCGAGCGGCAGCGGGACCUUCGGGUUGCCGGCGAGCGGCGGACGGGUGAGUAAUGCCUAGGAAUCUGCCUGUUAGUGGGGGAUAACGCGGGGAAACUCGCGCUAAUACCGCAUACGUCCUACGGGAGAAAGCGGGGGCUCUUCGGACCUCGCGCUAACAGAUGAGCCUAGGUCGGAUUAGCUAGUUGGUGGGGUAAUGGCCCACCAAGGCGACGAUCCGUAACUGGUCUGAGAGGAUGAUCAGUCACACUGGAACUGAGACACGGUCCAGACUCCUACGGGAGGCAGCAGUGGGGAAUAUUGGACAAUGGGCGAAAGCCUGAUCCAGCCAUGCCGCGUGUGUGAAGAAGGUCUUCGGAUUGUAAAGCACUUUAAGUCGGGAGGAAGGGCUGUAGGCUAAUACCUUGCAGUUUUGACGUUACCGACAGAAUAAGCACCGGCUAACUUCGUGCCAGCCGCCGCAGUAA